CGCGGCCUAUCAGCUUGUUGGAGAGGUAACGGCUCACCAAGGCAUCGACGGGUAGCUGGUCUGAGAGGAUGAUCAGCCACACUGGGACUGAGACACGGCCCAGACUCCUACGGGAGGCAGCAGUAGGGAAUCUUGCACAAUGGGCGAAAGCCUGAUGCAGCAACGCCGCGUGCGGGAAGAAGGCCCUAGGGUUGUAAACCGCUUUCAGCAGGGAAGAAAAUGACGGUACCUGCAGAAGAAGGUGCGGCCAACUACGUGCCAGCAGCCGCGGUGACACGUAGGCACCAAGCGUUAUCCGGAUUUAUUGGGCGUAAAGAGCUCGUAGGCGGUUCGGUAAGUCGGGUGUGAAAACUCUGGGCUCAACCCAGAGAGGCCACCCGAUACUGCUGUGACUAGAGUGCGGUAGGGGAGCGGGGAAUUCAUGGUGUAGCGGUGAAAUGCGCAGAUAUCAUGAGGAACACCAGUGGCGAAGGCGCCGCUCUGGGCCGUAACUGACGCUGAGGAGCGAAAGCGUGGGUAGCAAACAGGAUUAGAUACCCUGGUAGUCCACGCCGUAAACGUUGGGCACUAGGUGUGGGUCUCAACCAACGAGAUCCGCGCCGUCGCUAACGCAUUAAGUGCCCCGCCUGGGGAGUACGG
rnacentral:rRNA from 1 species